UCAUUAGGCAGCAGCUGCUGUUGCUGAGGAAUGUAUGUCACAAGUCAGUGAUUUCAUGUCACUCCCCCUCCUCUUGAUACCAGGCGCUGUGAUUACAUAGUCCAGUUGGAAAUUCUUAGCAAUUUUCCUUCAAGAGACCCCUAUGCUCAGAUUUAGGGAGGUGGGAAACAGCCGCUCUAAACUCUGCUCAGUUAGAAGAUUUCCGUAGGGAAAUUGCUGUUUAUAAGGAAAGCAAGGAAGCUUUGCAGAUGAGUAUUUGGUGGAGAGCAAAGGCUGAAGAUGAAUCUACUUUUAGGAUACCUAAAGUACUAUGCACAUUCUCCUUCUAUAUAAGGAAUACAUGUAGCCACCGCAUGCCAUGGAGCGUGCUGAAAAUCUCAGGUUUGGGCCACUUCCCUUUCCCCAUCGCUGUAGAGGUGAGAUCACAUUAAGACUUUGUAUUUGCAUGUUGCCAGCAACAGAAGCACCCAAUCUGCACCUCCUGGCAGCCGCUGUGGGGACACUGAGUUCCUCCAGCCCCAUGGAACUGACUUUGGCACCGCGGAAAAAUUUUUAUUAUACUAUUAACAGCUGGACAUUUAAACCAGUGGGAUUUCUUUAAACAUCCGUGGGCCAGCUGCAUCCCCAGAGUUUGUACUGACAGAAGAAUCCCUAAGGAAUUGGUGAAAGCCUCCCUGAUCUGGCAUCUGUGACAACGUGAAGUGCAUACAUCUGACUGGGAGAAAGGAGUGAAAAGCAGGAGGCAGCUCUGCAUGUUUAGGAGUCCCUUUAGCAAGGCUUCAAUGGAGGCAAACUCAUCCGAGCCCAGGAACGGGAUGAAAAAAUGGAUCCCUUCAGAGGAGGUGAAAUGAAGCGAUUGGUUGACGUUAUCCCUCCAGCACUUCUGUGCACUCUCUGAUGAGAAGACAGCAUAGUUGAGAGUGGCUGCAAGCUGAUGCAGUGUUGUUUGAAGGCUGAUGGAUACUGGCAUUAACUGAGCUUUCAGCACAGCUUCUCCUAUUAGAAGGAUGAGUUUAAAAGCCACUAUGUCUGCCCAGUCAGGAUUACGUCGCAUAGCUUUGAGGUCUUCAUGGGGACUGCUAAAAAGCCCCAGCAGUUCAGAAAUCACUCCAGAUAGCGUCUCGCUGGCUUCACUAUCCCCUGUGCUAUUCAUUCUCUGUCUCAUGUCAACGAUGUAAAGCCUACAGGUAGAGAUUUUCUCCUUCUUGCAUCGACAAUCCUCACAAGACAGUUCUGCUUCUCUUGCUUUGCAGAGGGAGUUCAGAUUCUCUAAUAGCUGAGCAUGAAAUGAUGUAUUCCUCUUGUCUGCUGCUGGGAACAGCCAGCUGUGCCUUUCUUCCUGCAGCAGAGAGAUGAGGCGAAUGGCCCAAAGGGUUUCACAGGAGGCAAGUUCCUGAAGGGCCUUCCCUGUGCUUCUCCAUGCUUCCAAGCUGCUGCUCAGAUCAAAGGAAACAGCUCCAAGGAGGCUGCAGAGGGAGACCACGCAUGCCAGCAGGAUCCUUUGAGCUGUUUUUCUACCACCAGCACUGGAAAAGGAAGAAUAUCUAAAAGAAAGAAAUCAAAGAAGGAAAAGAGGGAAGGGAUGUGGCAGGGGAGUCUGAUCAUGGUGGUAUUUCUUACAGCUCCCGAAAAUAUGGCUGGAGCUAACAGUGAUACAUCCUGAAAUGAAGCAAAGGGAUCGAGCAUUAGCUGUACAUUAUUGAAAGAAAUAUUUGGUCGUAUUUUUUUCCUUCUGAUGCUUUCUUUUAAAAGAAAAUGGUGGAAAAGAGACAGUUCUUGUGAUGCUGGGAUGGGAUCGUGCCAUUCUCCUGUGAGUAUGAAGAGAGAUAUGAGUGUUUGCAGUGGGUUUUAUUCCCUGUGGAGCUCCUGUUUAAACCUCAAAGCAGCCCAUGAAAAAACGGCUCUGUGAUUUCAGUGGUUGUGAUCUGCAACUGUUAAAAAUUUUAAUCAAAGUUGUGACCAAAACUUUUGGAAUUUGUUCUUAAUGGGGAAUUUCCAGAAAAUGGAUGAUUUGCGUUGAUACGUUUAAAUAUGCUUAAAUAUUUCCACUUUGUUGUCCAAAUAUUUCAAGAGGGAAAUUAUUCAAAUUUCAGUUCUGUUUCAGUUUUUACAGGAGUACACAUCCCCAUCUGUUACUUUUUUGUCUGCAAUAUUUGUUGUCUGUGCCUCACGGUUACCUCUUCUCUUCCGCAACACUCGUAAUUGACACCCAGUCUGCACAGCAAAAUAACCUCUUAACAAUUUUCAAUUAACUGUUUACAACCCUGCCUUAAUGAUGCUCACACAAGCAACUCAGGAUGUUACAAUGAAGCACCCAAACAACCUUCCUCUCCAACUGCUAAAGCACCAACAAGCAACCAGGCUGCUGAUCGGAAGGAGAGAGAUCUGCAGCAAUGCUGCCAGCACCCACUGCUGCAUCUGACCAUUCCUGCUGCUGAACCCCGACACCCCCAGGUGUCACGGGGUGCUGUCUGUAAAAGCACUUUGCAGUGCUGCCACACUCACCUGUGCUGAUCUGCUGGCACCCGUGCUGCCUUCUCACCGGGCAUCUCCACUGCUGGUCCCACUGCUGGUCCCACUCGGAUCCCAUCUGCUGCCUGCCCACCUCCUGCUAUGCCAGCGCUUUGCUUCCUCACCCCUCUACCCUCAGAGUUGUUCCUGUGGCUCUCCACUCUUCUGAUCCUCACUCCUCUCACAGCGGGCUCGCACCCCCCAGGGAAUAUCAAGCUCCAGCCCAAGGUAGGGGAAAGGCUUUAAAAGGUCCUCAGUGUUAUCGCGAAAUGCGUGCUCGGCUCUUGACAACGCACAAGAAGAAAUGACAGAGACACGUGUUUUUCUUUCAUGUUGCAAAAAACAGUGUUUAUUGCAGUGAAAAGCGUAAUUUCCCAGCU